UUGUCACGUGAUAAUUGCACGUUUAUGAACGACCAACACACAUAGUUAUAAUGCUUUACCGCUGCAAAAAGUUUAAAUUUAAAUAGUAGGAAUGUCGACGGUCGUUUUAUUAUUAUUAUUAUUAUUAUUAUUAGUAGUAGUAGUAGUAGUAGUAGUAAUAAUUGUGCAGCCCUAACAUGGAUGGUUCCGUAACCAUAGUAAAAAUCAAAGAUGGCGACGACCGUUAUACUGAAGAAGAGAAGAGAACAACAGGAGUCGUCGCGGCUUUUUUACCUGAGCAGAAAACUGAAAGACAGACUAAAACCGCUUGGUCUAACGAUUACGGAUCUGGGCUGGUGACGAGAAAAAAAAGGUGCCAGUCUUUGAACCAGGUUUGGACGAGUGGCGAGCUGCACAGCCAGGAGGUCAAAGGUCAGGAUGGCAUCGAGAUGAACUGGAAUCCUAACAGAUGGCUCUCUCUCCUGGCAUUAUAAACCUCCUUGAUCCCAACCAGCCGAUACACAGCGCGGUCUCAACCAAUGGGGGAGCCGCAGAGGAAAGUGACAAUGGAUCGAUGCAUGUGAUUAAUUAACUUCUAAUGAGUUCAUCUGAGCGGCAGGGCCCGGGAAAGUUGGACAUGUCCUCGGCAUCAAGUUUGACCUACCUUACUUACACACCUCAGCAUCCAUCAGCCCUGUCCCUGUCUCCCGGUCUGUCUCUGUCUGUCUGUCUCCCUCUCUCGCUUUGCAAACUAAUCAAUACUCAAAAGCAAACCAGUAGGUCAUUGCUUCUUAUUUGGUGUCACAUGGGUUUUCCCCUUUGUCUCUGAAGCAUGAGCUUGUGGUUACUGUAAAUACUGUUGUUGUUGUUGUUUUUUUUUUUUUUCUUCUUAAAGUCAACUUAAAAUCAAAAUUGACAUUUCAUUUAUUUCUAACACAUUUCUGGUUUUAUUGUGCAUGAUUUAAUAGUAGUGAAUGCUGAAUCACUAAUAUAAACUCAGAAAUAAAUUAGCUCCUUGCAGGUAUUUUAUAAAGUAGAUUAAAGACAAUAUGUAAAAUUUUUAGAUGAAAAUAUCC